rnacentral:rRNA from 1 species
CAGCACCUCAAGUGGUCAGAAUGAUUAUUGGGCCUAAAGCAUCCGUAGCCGGCGCUGUAAGUUUUCGGUUAAAUCUGUACGCUCAACGUACAGGCUGCCGGGAAUACUGCAGCGCUAGGGAGUGGGAGAGGUAGACGGUACUCGGUAGGAAGGGGUAAAAUCCUUUGAUCUAUUGAUGACCACCUGUGGCGAAGGCGGUCUACCAGAACACGUCCGACGGUGAGGGAUGAAAGCUGGGGGAGCAAACCGGAUUAGAGACCCGAGUAGUC